rnacentral:rRNA from 1 species
UAAGUGAAGAGUUUGAUCCUGGCUCAGAGUGAACGCUGGCGGUAGGCCUAACACAUGCAAGUCGAACGGCAGCACAGGAGAGCUUGCUCUCUGGGUGGCGAGUGGCGGACGGGUGAGGAAUACAUCGGAAU